rnacentral:tRNA from 2 species
GCCCGCGUGGCGCAAUUGGUUAGCGCGUCAGACUUUUACGGACAAAGUGAAGUGAUCUGAAUGUUGCGAGUUCGAGUCUCGCCGUGGGCG